UACGUAGGGUGCAAGCGUUGUCCGGAUUUAUUGGGCGUAAAGAGCUCGUAGGCGGUUUGUCGCGUCGGCCGUGAAAUCUCCACGCUUAACGUGGAGCGUGCGGUCGAUACGGGCAGACUUGAGUUCGGUAGGGGAGACUGGAAUUCCUGGUGUAGCGGUGAAAUGCGCAGAUAAUCAGGAGGAACACCGGUGGCGGAAGGCGGGUCUCUGGGGCCGA
rnacentral:rRNA from 1 species